CCCGCGUCUGAUUAGCUAGUUGGUGAGGUAAAGGCUCACCAAGGCGACGAUCAGUAGCUGGUCUGAGAGGAUGAUCAGCCACAUUGGGACUGAGACACGGCCCAAACUCCUACGGGAGGCAGCAGUGGGGAAUCUUGCGCAAUGGGCGAAAGCCUGACGCAGCCAUGCCGCGUGAAUGAUGAAGGUCUUAGGAUUGUAAAAUUCUUUCACCGGGGACGAUAAUGACGGUACCCGGAGAAGAAGCCCCGGCUAACUUCGUGCCAGCAGCCGCGGUAAUACGAAGGGGGCUAGCGUUGCUCGGAAUUACUGGGCGUAAAGGGAGCGUAGGCGGACAUUUAAGUCAGGGGUGAAAUCCCGGGGCUCAACCUCGGAAUUGCCUUUGAUACUGGGUGUCUUGAGUAUGAGAGAGGUGUGUGGAACUCCGAGUGUAGAGGUGAAAUUCGUAGAUAUUCGGAAGAACACCAGUGGCGAAGGCGACACACUGGCUCAUUACUGACGCUGAGGCUCGAAAGCGUGGGGAGCAAACAGGAUUAGAUACCCUGGUAGUCCACGCCGUAAACGAUGAUUGCUAGUUGUCGGGAUGCAUGCAUUUCGGUGACGCAGCUAA
rnacentral:rRNA from 1 species